GGCCCUCUACCUCGGAUAGAUUUGAAGUCCUGAUAAAUACAAGAAGAAGAUCGCAUUAAGGAGGGAGAAUCAACUAUCCAAAGAAGGAAAAGGUUUUAUAUUCUUUGAUGCUCACGCUAUUGUCACUUUGGAAUCUUUAUUGCAGGAAGCUAAUUCCUUCUUUACUGAUACAGAUUUUUCUUUGGUAGCAACACCAGUAUCUUCGAUCGCCAAUUUUGAAUUUACAGGAGACUCCGGUGAUUUAGUACUAGUCAUAUCACACUGUUGGGCGUUGUUCUCCA
rnacentral:lncRNA from 1 species